UGGUUGAUCCUGCCAGUAGUGAUAUGCUUGUUUCAAAGAUUAAGCCAUGCAUGUCUAAGUAUAAGCGAACUUAUACAGUGAAACUGCGGAUGGCUCAUUAAAACAGUUUGAAUUUAUUUGAUGAAUGUAUGAGAAUACUACUUGGAUAACCGUAGUAAUUCUAGAGCUAAUACAUGCAACGACGCCCGACCGUUUCACUACGGAAGGGCUGUAUUUAUUGGAUACCAAAACCAUCCUUCCCUCGGGAAGUUUUGUUUGAUGAUUCACAAUAACUGAUCGGAUCGCCACUGUGGUGGCGACAGGUCAUUCAACAUUCUGCCCUAUCAGCUUUCGAUGGUUGUGUAGUGGACAACCAUGGCCAUAACGGGUAACGGAGAAUCAGGGUUCGACUCCGGAGAAAGAGCUUGAGAGUUGGCUACUACAUCUAAGGAAGGCGGCAGGCGCGCAAAUUACCCAAUCCCGAUUCGGGGAGGUAGUGACAAAAAAUAACAAUACCGGGCCUUUUUGGGCUUGGUAAUUGGAAUGAGGGAGAGUUAAACGGACCAUCGAGUAUCCAUUGGAGGGCAAGUCUGGUGCCAGCAGCUGCGGUAAUACCAGCUCCAAUAGCGUAUAUUAAAGUUGUUGCAGUUAAAAAGCUCGUAGUUGGACUUGUGUGCGCUGUCCGCGGGUGGCCUGCGCCCAAAAGGGCGUUUCGGUUCGGCCCCGGUGGCGCCUUGAAAUCUGCAGCUGGGGGGACGUUGGCCUUAACUGGUCGGCGACCGCACGCCGGCUGCUCGGUUACUGUGAGAAAAUUAGAGUGUUCAAGGCAGGCAUUGGGUGCAAUUGAAUACAUUAGCAUGGAAUAAUAAAAUAUGGCUCCUGCCGUAUUUUGUUGGUUUUGACUGGUGGGAGUAAUGAUUGAUAGGGGCGGUUGGGGGUGCUAGUAUUGAGCGGCCAGAGGUGAAAUUCAUGGAUUCGCUCAAGACUAACUUAUGCGAAAGCAUUCACCAAGGACGUCCUCUUUAAUCAAGAACGAAAGUUGGGGGAUCGAAGACGAUCAGAUACCGUCGUAGUCUCAACCAUAAACUAUGUCGACUUGGGAUCGGCGGUAGUUUUUUCAUUAAGACACUGUCGGGACCACGGGAGAAAUCAAAGUGUCUGGACUCUGGGGGAAGUAUGGUCGCAAGGCUGAAACUUGAAGGAAUUGACGGAAGGGCACCACCAGGAGU
rnacentral:rRNA from 1 species